UAGUAAAACAUUCUCAAUUUUACUUACCCCUUGAAAUUCGAGCAGUCCGGUUCGCUUUUGUGCUGUUCUGCUUUAAAGAAAAAUCGCAUUGUAUUUUCCAACCCUUGACGCUUAGGAGGAGAACACAAGUUAGUACCAAAAUGUGCUGCCCCAGCCGAUGGUAUCGCGAUACACCCUGCGUCCAGUGCUGCCUCAUCGAUUGCAGCUACUGCUGUUUCAAAUCUGACUGCUGUGGCCCAUUCUGUACGACAACCUGCCCCCCAGACUGCUGUGGAGGACCUUGUGGUCCUUGCUGUUAACUGGCGGAUGCAGAAAUGCUGAACCAGACUAGACUGACGAAUUAAAGGGGUACCAGCUAAAUCCGUGGUGCAACAAUAAAAACAAUUUUGUACUAAAACAAACCCA